rnacentral:rRNA from 1 species
GACGAACGCUGGCGGCGUGCCUAAUACGUGCAAGUCGAACGGUCUUUUCUAUGGAAGCUUGCUUCCGCUGAGAAGAUAGUGGCGAACGGGUGAGUAACACGUGGGUAACCUGCCCAUAAGAGGGGGAUAACAUCCGGAAACGGGUGCUAAUACCGCAUAGGUUUCUUGGUCGCAUGAUCGAGAAAGGAAAGACGGCCUUUGUGCUGUCGCUUAUGGAUGGACCCGCGGCGUAUUAGUUAGUUGGUGAGGUAACGGCUCACCAAGACGAUGAUACGUAGCCGACCUGAGAGGGUGAUCGGCCACAUUGGGACGGAGACACGGCCCAAACUCCUACGGGAGGCAGCAGUAGGGAAUCUUCCGCAAUGGACGAAAGUCUGACGGAGCAACGCCGCGUGAGUGAAGAAGGUUUUCGGAUCGUAAAACUCUGUUGUCAGAGAAGAACAAGUCGGAGAGUAACUGCUCCGGCCUUGACGGUAUCUGACCAGAAAGCCACGGCUAACUACGUGCCAGCAGCCGCCGUAACAC